rnacentral:rRNA from 1 species
UAAGCAUAUCAAUAAGCGGAGGAAAAGAAACCAACAGGGAUUGCCUCAGUAACGGCGAGUGAAGCGGCAACAGCUCAAAUUUGAAAUCUGGCUCCCCUUGGGGGUCCGAGUUGUAAUUUGGAGAGGAUGUUUCUGGCGCGGCGCCUUCCGGAGUUCCUUGGAACAGGACGCCACAGAGGGUGAGAGCCCCGUACGGUCGGCCGCCAAACCUCCAAAAGAAACUCCUUCGACGAGUCGAGUAGUUUGGGAAUGCUGCUCAAAAUGGGAGGUAAAUUUCUUCUAAAGCUAAAUACCGGCCAGAGACCGAUAGCGCACAAGUAGAGUGAUCGAAAGAUGAAAAGCACCUUGAAAAGAGGGUUAAACAGUACGUGAAAUUGUUGAAAGGGAAGCGCCUGCGACCAGACUCGCGCCCCGCGGACCAGCCGGCGUUCUCGCCGGUGCACUCCGCGGGGUGCGGGCCAGCAUCGGUUUUCCCUGGGGGAGAAAGGCCGCGGGAACGUAGCUCCUUCGGGAGUGUUAUAGCCCGUGGCGUCAUGCCCCA